AGCAGUCAUGCAGGCAAAACCGCAUGAAAAAUGUAAAGCGUUAUGUGGAUCGAACAUUAGUAGAGAAGCGUGUGAGCCAGCUGCCAAGAAAAGCCGCUAUUGUUUCAUAAGUACCCGUACCGUAAACCGACACAGGUGGAUGAGGAGAGAAUCCUAAGGCCGGCGGGAGAAGUGUUGUUAAGGAACUCGGCAAAAUGACUCCGUAACUUCGGGAGAAGGAGUGCCACAGAGGUGUGGCCGCAGAGAAAUGGCCCAAGCAACUGUUUAGCAAAAACACAGGUCUAUGCAAAACCGAAAGGUGAGGUAUAUGGGCUGACGCCUGCCCGGUGCUGGAAGGUUAAGAGGAGAGGUUAGAGCAAUCGAAGCUUUGAAUUUAAGCCCCAGUAAACGGCGGCCGUAACAAUAACGGUCCUAAGGUAGCGAAAUUCCUUGUCGGGUAAGUUCCGACCCGCACGAAAGGCGUAAUGAUUUGGGCACUGUCUCAACAACACACCCGGUGAAAUUGAAAUACCAGUGAAGAUGCUGGUUACCUGCGCCAGGACGGAAAGACCCCAUGGAGCUUUACUCCAGUUUGAUACUGGGAUUCGGUACUGUCUGUACAGGAUAGGUGGGAGGCUAGGAAAUGGUGACGCCAGUUGCCAUGGAGCCAACCUUGGGAUACCACCCUUACAGUACUGGGUUUCUAACCUGCAGCCGUAACCCGGCUGGGGGACAAUGUCUGACGGGGAGUUUGACUGGGGCGGUCGCCUCCGAAAGAGUAUCGGAGGCGCUCAAAGGUUCCCUCAGAACGGUUGGAAACCGUUCGAAGAGUGCAAAGGCAGAAGGGAGCUUGACUGCGACACCGACGGGUGGAGCAGAUACGAAAGUAGGACUUAGUGAUCCGGUGGUAUAAAGUGGGAUUGCCAUCGCUCAACGGAUAAAAGCUACCCUGGGAUAACAGGCUUAUCACUCCCAAGAGUUCACAUCGACGGAGUGGUUUGGCACCUCGAUGUCGGCUCAUCGCAUCCUGGAGCUGUAGCAGGUUCCAAGGGUUGGGCUGUUCGCCCAUUAAAGCGGUACGCGAGCUGGGUUCAGAACGUCGUGAGACAGUUCGGUCCCUAUCCGGCGUGGGCGUAGGAUAUUUGAGAGGAGCUGUCCUUAGUACGAGAGGACCGGGAUGGACAAACCUCUGGUGUAUCUGUUGUUUUACCAAAGGCAUGGCAGAGUAGCCAAGUUUGGCAGGGAUAAACGCUGAAGGCAUCUAAGCGUGAAGCCCCCCUCAAGAUAAGAUAUCCCAUCUUCGGAGUAAGACCCCUUGAAGACUACAAGGUUGAUAGGCUUCAGGUGUAAGUGUGGUAACGCACUCAGCUGAGAAGUACUAAUAGGUCGAGGACUUACC
rnacentral:rRNA from 1 species